GUGGGGAAUAUUGCACAAUGGGCGCAAGCCUGAUGCAGCGACGCCGCGUGAGGGAUGGAGGCCUUCGGGUUGUAAACCUCUUUUGUUUGGGAGCAAGCCUUCGGGUGAGUGUACCUUUCGAAUAAGCGCCGGCUAACUACGUGCCAGCAGCCGCGGUAAUACGUAGGGCGCAAGCGUUAUCCGGAUUUAUUGGGCGUAAAGGGCUCGUAGGCGGCUCGUCGCGUCCGGUGUGAAAGUCCAUCGCUUAACGGUGGAUCUGCGCCGGGUACGGGCGGGCUGGAGUGCGGUAGGGGAGACUGGAAUUCCCGGUGUAACGGUGGAAUGUGUAGAUAUCGGGAAGAACACCGAUGGCGAAGGCAGGUCUCUGGGCCGUCACUGACGCUGAGGAGCGAAAGCGUGGGGAGCGAACAGGA
rnacentral:rRNA from 1 species